CUGGCGGCGUGCCUAACACAUGCAAGUCGAGCGAGGAGAUCCUCGGGAUGAUCUAGCGGCGGACGGGUGAGUAACACGUGGGCAACCUGCCUCAUAGAGAGGAAUAGCCUUCCGAAAGGGAGAUUAAUACCUCAUAACAUUGCAGUUUCGCAUGGAACAGCAAUUAAAGGAGUAAUCCGCUAUGAGAUGGGCCCGCGGCGCAUUAGCUAGUUGGUGAGGUAAUGGCUCACCAAGGCGACGAUGCGUAGCCGACCUGAGAGGGUGAUCGGCCACAUUGGGACUGAGACACGGCCCAGACUCCUACGGGAGGCAGCAGUGGGGAAUAUUGCACAAUGGGGGAAACCCUGAUGCAAGCAACGCCGCGUGAGUGAUGACGGCCUUCGGGUUGUAAAGCUCUGUCUUCAGGGACGAUAAUGACGGUACCUGAGGAGGAAGCCACGGCUAACUACGUGCCAGCAGCCGC
rnacentral:rRNA from 1 species